rnacentral:lncRNA from 1 species
GAUGGCGGCUUAGAGAAAGCUAAAGUUCAGAUCUCCGGAAAACCCUCCCGACCAAACUCAAACUAUAAGCUCCUAAGGCACCGACAUUCAAAACGAUCAACAGCAUAGACCCUGGGAAUCCUCCUCCUGGACCUGGACCUGGAUCAAAAGACUUCCCAGUAAGCAUGGAGGCAUUCCUGACGUGGGACGCUUCCUCUCCCCAGCACCCAAUGAAAUUGACUACCUCAAAAGAACAUAAAAAUCAUUUUUAGAAGAAUGGAGGAACUCAACAGUAUGGUUCAGCAUUGAAGUGGAUUGGAGAGUCUUGCAGGAGGGAGAGAAUUUGGAACUCAAAAUAUUUUUAAAGAUGAAUAUUUAAAAGCAUCACCAGGAAAUAUUUAAUGAAAUUGAUAACAAUAAAAAUAUUUAAAACACUGAAAGAAAAGAAAUC